rnacentral:tRNA from 1 species
GUUUAAGUAGCUUAUUAAAGCAUCAGUCUUGUAAACUGAAGAUCAGAGGCUAACCCCUCUCUUAAACU